UACAGAGGGUGCGAGCGUUGUUCGGAAUUAUUGGGCGUAAAGCGCGUGUAGGCGGUGAUGCAUGUCGGGUGUGAAAGCCCUCAGCUCAACUGAGGAAGUGCGCCCGAAACUGCAUCGCUGGAGUGCCGGAGAGGAAGGCGGAAUUCCCGGUCGUAGAGGUGAAAUUCGUAGAUAUCGGGAGGAACACCAGUGGCGAAGGCGGCCUUCUGGGACGGACACUGGACGCUGA
rnacentral:rRNA from 1 species